UCUCUCUGCUCCCCCUUCAGGCUUCAUCUCUCCCGAGCGUUUUUUGGGCUCCCCUUCCCAGCAGGGCUCGGCCAUUUCUGCACCACCAGAGAAUCUCAGCCAAACCCCGAAAGGGAGGUGGGAAAAGGACUGUGUGGGACCUCCUCCCUUCCUGGCGCCGUAUUCCUUUGGGACUCCCUGCCUCAGUCCUCUGGGGUCAUGGCGGGGGAGGGGGGACUGACGGUGAUCAUCCUUUCUGCCUGACUGGCUGCAAUCUGUAUCUCCCCUGUAUUGCCUGCACCCCAGAAGUCAGAAGGCAGAGGUUGAAAGUGAGUAGAUCUCCAUUCGCUUCUCUCUGGACGAAAAAGGAAUAAUCCAAUUUCAAAUCCUUCUUAACAUUUCCAAGAUUACAUACCAGGACAACCAGAAUUCUGUUUCUUCUGCUAUUUGGACAGGGACAAGAACCAAGUGUGAAGCAGGAAAAGAACACUGAAAAUGAGAUAGAAAGACAGAAUGGAAGCCAACCAAUGACAAGAAAGAGUACAUCUAAAAAUUUCAAAGAGUGCUAAUUUUUACAAACUGCUGAUGAUUGGGAAAACAUCAAGGAAAGGGAAGGAGAAGGUGCAUCACGGGUAGAAAAGCAUUCAAAUGAACUUCUGAUAUCAAUAGACAUGGCUAGGUCUACCCAAAAGAAAAAUUAAAUCAAUGAAUGGAGCAUAUAAAGACCAUAAAUAUGAACAGUAAUUUAUCAGGUGAAGAACUCAUCAGAGGGGUGAAGCAGUAUAAAUGCUUCCCAUGUGGAAAGAGCUUGAGCCAAAGGAGUACACUGAGUUCACAUCAAGGAACCCAUUCAGAGGAGAAACCAUAUAAAUGCAUGGAAU